rnacentral:rRNA from 1 species
AGCGCGGAGCACGAGGAAUUCUGCGUGAAUCUGCCGGGACCAUCCGGUAAGGCUAAAUACUCCCGAGAGACCGAUAGUGAACCAGUACUGUGAAGGAAAGGUGAAAAGCACUUCGAACAGAAGAGUGAAAUAGUUCCUGAAACCAUGUGCCUACAAGCGGUCGGAGCACCUUCUGGUGUGACGGCGUGCCUUUUGCAUAAUGAACCUACGAGUUACUUUUUCCGGCGAGGUUAAGGAUUUCAGAUCUGCAGCCGAAGCGAAAGCGAGUCUGAACAGGGCGUAUAGUCGGAAGGAGUAGACGCGAAACCAAGUGAUCUACCCUUGGGCAGGUUGAAGGAUGGGUAACACCAUCUGGAGGACCGAACCAAUAAGCGUUGAAAAGCUUCUGGAUGACCUGAGGGUGGGGGUGAAAGGCUAAUCAAACUUGGAGAUAGCUCGUACUCCCCGAAAUGCAUUUAGGUGCAGCCUUGACUUAUACUGGCAUGAGGUAGAGCGACUGAUAAGAUGCGAGGGCUUCACCGCCUAUCAAGUCUUGACAAACUCCGAAUGCGUGUCAGUUCUAUGUCAGGAGUGAGGGCAUGGGUGCUAAGGUCCAUGUCCUAAAGGAGAACAAUCCGGACCAACAGCUAAGGUCCCGAAAUGAAUACUAAGUUGAACUAACGAAGUCAGAUUGCUAAGACAGCUAGGAUGUUGGCUUGGAAGCAGCCAUUCAUUUAAAGAGUGCGUAACAGCUCACUAGUCGAGGAGUUUGGCGUGGAUAAUAAUCGGGCAUAAGUAUUCUACCGAAGCUUUGGGAUGAGAAAUCAUCGGUAGGGGAGCAUUCCACUCGGCGUCGAAGGUGAAGCGCGAGCUUUGCUGGAGCGUGUGGAAAAGCAAAUGUAGGUAUAAGUAACGAUAAAGGGGGUGGGAAACCCCCUCGCCGAAAGACUAAGGUUUCCUGAUCAACGCUAAUCGGAUCAGGGUAAGUCGGGUCCUAAGGCUCAGCCGAACGGCGAGGCCGAUGGCAGAACCGGUUAAUAUUCCGGUACUACCUGUGGGAGUGACGUGGAGACGGAGUCGUGACAGCGCCGCGGACUGACGGAAUAGUCCGUUGAAGGGUGUAGAUGCUGAUUGUUCCAGGCAAAUCCGGAGCAAGAGUCGAACCUGACAGUAUGGAGCGUUCUUAGAACAAUCCAAUAGUGCGUGUAAUCAUACUUCCAAGAAAAUCCGCUAAACUUAAUCCUGCAGGUACCCGUACCGCAAACGGACACACGUAGUCGGGUUGAAUAUACUAAGGCGCUUGAGUGAUUCACGGUUAAGGAACUAGGCAAACUGACCCUGUAACUUCGGGAUAAAGGGUCCUCGCUUAACGGCGAGGCGCAGAGAAUAGGUCCAGGCAACUGUUUAACAAAAACACAGGGCUGUGCAAAAUUGAAAGAUGAAGUAUACAGCCUGACACCUGCCCGGUGCUGGAAGGUUAAGAGGAGAUGUCAUCGCAAGAGAAGCAUUGAAUUGAAGCCCCAGUAAACGGCGGCCGUAACUAUAACGGUCCUAAGGUAGCGAAAUUCCUUGUCGGGUAAGUUC